GUUCAGUGAUGUUUGUAACAAAUGUCUGACCUGAACUAUGUUGUGGACAAAUGUGUUGCUGAGCAG